rnacentral:rRNA from 1 species
UACGUAGGGUGCGAGCGUUAAUCGGAAUUACUGGGCGUAAAGCGUGCGCAGGCGGUUUUGUAAGCCAGGUGUGAAAUCCCCGGGCUCAACCUGGGAAUGGCAUUUGGGACUGCAAGGCUGGAGUGCGGCAGAGGAGACUGGAAUUCCUGGUGUAGCGGUGGAAUGCGCAGAUAUCAGGAGGAACACCAAUAGCGAAGGCAGCUCGCUGGGACGUUACUGACACUGAGGCGCGAAAGCGUGGGGAGCGAACAGG